AUGUGGACCAGCUCCCCUGGAGAGCAAUCGCUGGCCAAGCGAGUGAAGCCGACAAUAUCAGCAUACAAAAUGCUGAAAAAGAAACAGGUGGUUGCUAGGAGGUGCGAGAGCACAGUGCGACCUCUUACCGAGGAUGGUCAGGCAGGAGGCAGCUGAUUGGCCGGUUGCUGGCCCUAGAGACUGGUCUGAACCAGUAACCAUGACCUGCAGAGGUGUGUUGGGACCUGGGACAGAGCAAAGACUUGGCCUGGAUGAAGGCCCCUGAGAACAGGACUGGCAAGCUCGGAGGUAGCGCAUCUCAGUCAGUUGGUUGCCUGCUGGUUGCCUGCAGUUUGCAAGCCCUGUCCUCUGUGCCUAAAGCACCGCAUCUGUCUGGACUGCGGUUGUCCUGCAGACACAGAUCAGAACAGAAAAAGAGGCAGGAAGAGAGGAAGCGAGACACAAACAAACAGUGUGUCGAAAGCGUGAGGGAGGGAGAAACUGCCAGCGAAUAUGCGGAAGACUGCUUUCCUACCAGAUGUGAAGGCAAACUGAAAGUGGCUUUAUGUUUAUCUAAUUUAAGGUUAAAACACCUUUACUGCUGCAUGCCAGGUAGUGUUUGAAUGACACUAAAGUGGAGGGACCAGCUUAAGGCAUGGAUUCUGGUGAUAUUACUAAGGAGCUGUGACCUUAGGUGCUUUGAUAAUUUACUACAAAUGUGUGUUUUGCUAACUGAGGUAAGAAAUGGAUUAUUUUAUGCAGUGUGAAAAUGCAGAUUCGUUCUGCAGAACGCUCACACAAAUGUUACAAGGUAAUGGGCCAAGCACAUGUUUCUGAGGUGCAGGCCAUUCUUGUGAAUUGUUUGGAACUGUAUUGAUUUGUUUUAUAUGGCUGAAUUGCAUCAGUUGACAGAUCCUACAGGAACUGGAUGUGAACAGGAGAUGAGGUUUAAAACAAACUGAGAGUAUACCACCUAUUGGAAGCAGAAUACAUCCAUUUUCUAAAAGCAAGUCAAGAAAUCAUCAAUAUAGCCAACAAUAUCAUUCCCAUGCAUGAGAAACAAAGGAGAGUUACUGAAGAUCAGGCAACAUUCAAAGACACUGUUACAGUCAUCAAUCCCAGCAAUUGCUCGAGAUUCUUCAACGGAACAGAUUCAGGAUGAAACAGGCUUAUUGUGUUCAUUUCACAAGACUAUGACUGUGUCUAAGACCAGUGACUGAAACAUGUGGAAGUGUGGUUUUUCAUCAAGUAUUUAAGUAUAGCUAUGUACUGUAGUAUAGACUAUACGGUGGCAUCCAGGACGAUGUCAGUUUCCACCAGGCUGCUCUGGUUCAUGGUUCAUGAACACCCCAAGACUCUGCAGUGACUUUCUACCUGCAUAAUAUCCUAAACCCCUUCAGCCUGGUGGUGGAAGGUCUAUUGCCGAGACCCCCAUCUUCCGUCUUCACCUUCUCUAGGCCAUGGAGGGGCCUUGGUUAGAUAUCUCAGUUGAGGCUUAUCAAGGGUAGAUGAGGCACAUAAGGGGUUUCCCCCCAGUGCCUGGCUGGUGCUAAUGUUGCCUGUGAUAUUGCUGAAAAUCUCUGGCCUGACCAGAGAAAGCAUGCUGAGGCAGAAUAAAUGUGAUUUUCUUUCUCUUUCUUUUGUUGCCAUUGAUUUAUAUUUUACUGUAUUCUAUGUUCUGUAUCAGUUGCAUAUUUUUCAGUACAUUUACUUUUUCAUUACGUUUCAGCAUAUUAAUGAGGAAAUAAAGUGAGGAAAUACAAUUUUU